GGGGCUGACUGGCUUUGACAGCGUGUAGAAGUGGUGGGUAAGCGUGCAGAGCUUUCAGAUCUACGCUCUAUAAUAUCAGGUCUGGAACAAUCUAAAUGGCGAAAACAACUACGCUCUUGCUGCUUAAUCGAAGAACAGUAGAUUAGCUUAAUCGCCUCAACAGUUGAGGCGACAAGACAUCACCCGAUUGUCCUUUUUCCGAGACUAAUCGAUCCGGUGGUGCAGGAAUAUCGGAAAUAGGAAACAAAGCGCCUCGAUGCGUUUCCGAAAACUUAGAGGAUAAGGUNCCGGUUGGCUGUCCUUGGCCUGCCGUCGCUCGAAAACCAAACAAAGACUACGCACGUAGAAAGCUCAUUAGUUCCGCGUUUGGACGAGGGUUCAAUCCCCUCCAGCUCCACAA
rnacentral:tmRNA from 1 species